rnacentral:rRNA from 1 species
AACGAACGCUGGCGGCAGGCCUCAUACAUGCAAGUCGAGCGAUUAAGACUCCUUCGGGAGUGUAUAAAGCGGCGAACGGGUGAGUAACAGGUGGAUGAUCUACCUUCCGGUGGGGGAUAACGGCUGGAAACGGCCGCUAAUACCGCAUUCGGUUAAUACGCUGUGGCGUAUUAAAGAAAGGCGCCUCAAAGCGCCGCCGGGAGAUGAGUCCGCCCCCCAUUAGCUAGUUGGUGAGAUAACAGCUCACCAAGGCAACGAUGGGUAGCCGAACUGAGAGGUUGAUCGGCCACACUGGAACUGAGACACGGUCCAGACACCUACGGGUGGCAGCAGUAGGGAAUAUUGGGCAAUGGGCGAAAGCCUGACCCAGCCAUGCCGCGUGAGUGAUGAAGGUCCUAGAGAUUGUAAAACUCUUUUCUGAGGAAAGAAUGAAUAGGAAGAAAUGUCCUUAUUUGACGGUACCUCAGGAAUAAGGAACGGCUAACUCCGUAGCCAGCAGCCGCGGUAAC